UCCCUGGUAGCUCAGUGGUAAAGAAUCUGCCUGCCAAUGCAGGAGACACAGGUUCGAUCCCUGGUCAGGGAG
rnacentral:tRNA from 1 species